rnacentral:rRNA from 1 species
GACAGAGGUGCCAAGCGUUAGGCGGAAUCACUGGGCUUAAAGCGUGUGUAGGCGGAUGGGUAAGUACCUUGUGAAAUCCCACGGCUCAACCGUGGAACUGCUCGGUAUACUGCUUAUCUUGAGCCACUUAGGGGCUGUCGGAACAAACGGUGGAGCGGUGAAAUGCGUAGAUAUCGAGAGGAACACCUGCGGCGAAGGCGGGUUGCUGGGCCGACACUGACGCUGAUGCGCGAAAGCCAGGGGAGCGAACAGG